CUACGUGCCAGCAGCCGCGGUAAUACGGAAGGUCCGGGCGUUAUCCGGAUUUAUUGGGUUUAAAGGGAGCGUAGGCCGGAGAUUAAGUGUGUUGUGAAAUGUAGACGCUCAACGUCUGACUUGCAGCGCAUACUGGUUUCCUUGAGUACGCACAACGUUGGCGGAAUUCGUCGUGUAGCGGUGAAAUGCUUAGAUAUGACGAAGAACUCCGAUUGCGAAGGCAGCUGACGGGAGCGCAACUGACGCUUAAGCUCGAAGGUGCGGGUAUCAAACAGGAUUAGAUACCCUGGUAGUCCGCACAGUAAACGAUGGAUGCCCGCUGUUGGUACCUGGUAUCAGCGGCUAAGCGAAAGCAUUAAGCAUCCCACCUGGGGAGUACGCCGGCAACGGUGAAACUCAAAGGAAUUGACGGGGGCCCGCMCAAGCGGAGGAACAUGUGGUUUAAUUCGAUGAUACGCGAGGAACCUUACCCGGGCUUGAA
rnacentral:rRNA from 1 species